CCCAACAGAGGCAUCAGUUGGCCCACACUUUUAAGUUCAUGUGAAGAUUUUCCAAUGUAAUCUCUGCUCAUUUUAGAAAUACUAGGUGGGAAUGGCCUGUGUCAGCACAGGCCCAAGGCAAUGUUAACAGCAUUAUAGUAUUUACUCAAAAGAAAUCAUGGUCGUAAUGUAGUUGAACUUUGUCUAUGUAAAGUUCACUUUUAUAUCCUUCUCAAAUAUAAUAAUUCUGGCUGUUCUUGUGGUUGUAGCGGCAAAUUCAGGUAUGCAUGUGAUCGAAGCUAGUCGUUAGUUGGCAAAAGCCCUUCACUUCAGAAUAAUCAAUCAGGACUGACUGUGCUUCUUCUUACUAUUGAAAAUGAACGUUAAAGCUUUGAAGCUAAUCUUCAAGCAUUCCUUUCAAGUUUCCUGUAAAAUCAGCAAAUCAUAUGUAAUUUUUCUUCCCAAAUAACCUGCACACGUCAUUUGCAUGGACCAAGUACCUGCAGCAAAUUCAACAUUUGAACCUCAUCAGACAUGACUACAAAUUCCUUAAAAAUGCACUAACCAUUGGCUUCAUUUUCCACUAAAAGUCACAUCUAUCUUUUGACAACUAAAACUUCCCACAAUUUUUCAGUGUGCAACAAAGGAAUUUAAUCUAUUCACUAAUUUACACACUCAGGUCAAUUAUAAAGUAAUUAUAACUUAUUCUAUGACCAACAUUAAUUGGUAACUCGAUAAAAAGUGGUAACCAAUUAAUUUAUUUUACACAAUUAGUGUAUAUAACUCAAAUUUGUAAGAAAUAGAUUAAUGAAGAGAAGGAUAAAAUAGUUACGUGAAGGUUCCAAGGUCAGAGUAUGAAAGGGAACCUAAGUCAUUAGUAAGGGAAUUCUUGAGCAUAAUAACAAGAGCCACAACACAAAGCCUCAUGGGUAGCAAACACAGCAUAGUCUCAGCCGUUCGCAUGCUGCUGCUUCCAUUUUCAUCUUCAAACUCUCGUGAUCCUUUCUGUAGAGGAGUGCUUCCGGCCAUUUUUUGUCUUUAAUCCUCCAUCUUUGGAAUGAAUAUUCUACUCUCCUCCUUUUAUUUUUUUUACAGUACAAAAGAGAUUAUAGCCAAGGAGAAAGAAAGGGGAGAUAUGAUGAGUGAUAGGCAGCCUCUACUUAUUAAUAAUCAACUUAGCUAAGGAGUUUAGUUGGGAAAGGCACUAAAUAUCUCCAUAAAAAACACAAAGACAAUGACACCAUUUUGCAAGACAGAAAAGUGUCAUAUAUUUCUAACGUCCAUUUAAAAUCCUAUUGUGGAUAUUAACUUAUCUUUUCAUCUAUCAUCAUAGUGUAUGAUAUCUACUCUAAUAGGUUAGCUGGCACAUUUCAUCUAAAUAAUACUACUCAUAAAAUGAUACGCACAAGUAUUAUUUGUUUAAAAGAAUGAGAAGUUCUUCUAACAAUUGGCAAUAACUACUGCAAACCCAAUCUUUCUUACAGUUUGAUUGAACAUUAAGCAUACCUUGCUACAGAAAAUUACAAGGGUGACGAUAUCGUUGCCAUAGAAAAAGUCCUUGCCCUUCUAUUCUUAGUUUAGAAAUUAAAUAAGUUGAUACUUGAUACCAAGCGCAGUACAGAAAAAAUAAUUAUUCCACUCUUGUGAUAUCAUUACAAGAAAUGGGAGCAUUGUAUGCUGAUUCUUCUGGUUCUGGAACUCCAAUAGCAGAGCAUGAAGACAUACAAAGACAAACCAGCUGCAAUCAUUACAAUAAUUUUUCCCCAGAUUUUAGCUCAGCACAAAAUAACUCUUAUAUAAUUAUGUAGAGAGCAUAGGAUGGUGUACAGAGAAAUUACCGUCCUACAUAAGUACUCCAAAAACAACUGAUAUUAGAUUCUAUCUUGCACGCAAUUUAGCUGGGUAAUGAAAAUUAUAAAAGAAUAAGACAAAAAGGAAAGAGCUACCAACACAAUUUAGGAACUGAACUUGAAAACUUAGGUGUUAAAAAGCCGUCAAGGCGUAAAAAAAUCACCAUUGCUUUUUCUUUUUCUUCCUUUUAGGUAAAGAACAACUACAUAGAAAACACAAACACAUGAAAAAGUGGAAUUUUUCAUCAAAUGCGAAGAGUAUAAACUAAGUUGCAAAGUCAGAGUGCGACAUUCAAUCGAGGGAGCAGCUUCACUAAAAAUAUUUAGAAAGUGAUGUUCUUGAACUAAAUUGACGAAGCAUCCCACAAGCAAGGGACGCAAUAGCAGAAGGCGGAUUCGGAGUUUCGACUAAUUCCUCGCUAUUCAAUCCCAAGGCAAUGAUGAAAGCAAUUUUGUAGAUUCAAUGUCAAAAUCAAAUAACAUAAGUGUUGUAUGAAAACAAUUUCCACUUUCGAAUCGAUAUACAAAGUUAAUAAUCUAUCAAAAGCUCGACUAUCCACCGAAUGGAAAAAUCCAUACCAUCGAUGAAAAAUCACGUUAAAAUAGAACCAAAGGAAAACAAUGAAAAGAAAAAUCGCCUGGCAUCCAAAUAGCAUAACUCAGCCAAGUUACUAAAGAGAAGAAAAAAUAAAGUUGAGACAGUAAUCGAAAUCAAGCGUCCGAAAAUGUUGUACCAUAUAGAGUUAGCGGAGAAGGGAGUAUCGUCCCCUAAGCAGUAAUCUUACCGUUCAGUACUCCAGAGCAAGCAAACACGAGUUGGAGGAGGAGGAGGCGAAAAGCGGUGUCUGUUCGGCGGUCCGGCCAAAUGGCGAACUCAAAAUGUGUUUCUCUAGAUU
rnacentral:lncRNA from 1 species